rnacentral:rRNA from 1 species
UACGUAGGGGGCUAGCGUUGUCCGGAAUCAUUGGGCGUAAAGAGCGUGUAGGCGGUCCGGUAAGUCCGCUGUGAAAGUCGGGGGCUCAACCCUCGAAUGCCGGUGGAUACUGUCGGGCUAGAGUGCGGAAGAGGCGAGUGGAAUUCCUGGUGUAGCGGUGAAAUGCGCAGAUAUCAGGAGGAACACCAAUUGCGAAGGCAGCUCGCUGGGACGUUACUGACGCUGAGACGCGAAAAGCGUGGGGGAGCAAAACAGG